GCUGGGGACGGCUGUCCUCUCCCAGCAAGACAAAUUGGAGGUGGCAUGUGGGGAAUGAUUGACACCACAUCAUUCAGCAAAUGCACCUCAAAGUUUAACCUGCACAGGAACAGCCAGAGCAGUUCAGCUGCUGAUGAAAACAGUCCUGGGUCCCUCCACCCACACAACCCAGCCUGGAUACACAGAAAGACACUUUGCAGUGCUGCCAGGUUCCCCAGAUCCUGGCAGGUGAGCUGCUACAGAAAACAGCACCUGC